CGGCGCACGGGCGCGGAACGCGUAUGGAACCUGCCCCUGUCAGGGGAAUAGCCCAGGGAAACUUGGAUUAAUGCCCCAUGGUACCGCGAUAUCGCAUGAUAUUGCGGUUAAAGAUUUAUCGGACAGGGAUGGCCAUGCGUACCAUUAGUUAGUUGGUGGGGUAACGGCCCACCAAGGCAGCGAUGGUUAGGGGCCCUGAGAGGGGGAUCCCCCACACUGGUACUGAGACACGGACCAGACUCCUACGGGAGGCAGCAGUGAGGAAUAUUGGACAAUGGGCGGGAGCCUGAUCCAGCCAUGCCGCGUGCAGGAUGACGGCCCUAUGGGUUGUAAACUGCUUUUAUACGGGAAGAAAUGCGCCCACGUGUGGGCGUCUGACGGUACCGUAAGAAUAAGGACCGGCUAACUCCGUGCCAGCAGCCGCGGUAAUACGGAGGGUCCGAGCGUUAUCCGGAAUCAUUGGGUUUAAAGGGUCCGUAGGCGGGCCUGUAAGUCAGGGGUGAAAGUUUGUGGCUCAACCAUAAAAUUGCCUUUGAUACUGCAGGUCUUGAGUCAUGGUGGGGUCGCCGGAACAUGUGGUGUAGCGGUGAAAUGCAUAGAUAUCACAUAGAACACCGAUCGCGAAGGCAGGUGGCCAACCAUGUACUGAC
rnacentral:rRNA from 1 species